GGAAAGAUGGCCGAGUGGUUAAGGCGGUGUCUUCAGGUGAUCGAUUAUCACUUUUAUUUGGCAUUUCUUCGGAGCGAGGGUUCGAACCCCUCUCUUUCCA